CUUAUGUUAAGCCAGUGGCGCACGGUGCUUGUUUUCGUGCUGGAUUGCUUGCUAGAUGGAAAUACUUUAGCUGCGUUCAGCAGAAAAAGCUGCUUUGUAACUGUUGUAAAAUUCGUGAAUCUGAUUGAUACAUUGGAUUUAAUCAAAAUUAAAAGCAUGCUCCAAUCAAAUUCAUGAAUUUUACAUCAGUGCAAAACUUUUUCUGCUGUACGCAACCUCUGUUCUGAUUGGUGCAUUUCUGAAGAUGGAUGAAAAUGCACUAAUCAAAAGAGUAUUUCCAUCCAGUACGCAAUCCAGCGCGAAAACAAUCUUCGUGUGCCACUAGUUUAGUAUAGAAAUCGAAAACAAAAAAUUAUAGCGUACGGUACAUUUAUUUAUAUUGUAAUUUUUAAUAGUUAAACGUGUAAAAUAUUGCAACGUAAUUCAAUGCGUAAAGGAAACUCAUGUGUGCCAUAGGAGGUAUCUGGACAAUUUGGGUGCUGUUGGUGAGGUUAUGUUUAAAGAUUAUUUUUGACGAUUGUCCACUUCUGUAAUUUUUCGCCUUAUGUUAAAUAAAGUGCUUGUAAUUAAAAUCUAUCUAAAAGCUCUGCUAAAAGUGACAAAACAUUAGUAAUUAUAACAUUUUUACUUAUGUCAAAUAUUGUAAAUGAUAACUUUCCAAUUUUUUACUAACCAUCUUUCAGUUUUAAGCAUUGUAAUAAUCUAGACUUCAGACUUCAAUUGUUGGCUGAGUACACCUUUACUUAAGUGACCCUACGCCAUUGCCCAUUGUAAUAAUCUGCAUGUAUACGAAAAAUAAUCUACAGGUACACGUGAAAUUACAUUUACACAUUGCAACUUAAGUAAGGAAUAUCCAUUAUCCAAGUCACUGAAGUGAUAUUAAAAUGGGUUGUACAUCUGAUCAGGAUAGUGAAAAUGUUUUAUCCAAUUUGCAAAAUGAGCAUGAUGAUAAAAUAUCUGUCAUUCGAAAAAGAAAGAAGUAUAAGUGCAACCAUCCAGAGUGUGAUGCUAUAUUUUCAGAAUCUUCCAAAUUAGAGAGACAUAUAAGGCAACACACUGGAGAGAGACGAUAUAUUUGUGAUGCACCAGGGUGUACUAAGUCAUAUCUUUUUUCUUGCCACCUAAAAAGACAUUUAAAAACACAUGAUCUCAUUGAAAUAGUGUAUAAAUGUUCGCUGUGUUCAAAAAUGAUUGUUAAUGCUUGCAAUCUGAAACUUCAUUACAAAGAACAUCAUGGCAAAGGUAAAAUUAUUUGUGAAGAAUGUGGCACAGUGUUUAAUAAAAAAUUUGAGCUAGCUAAACACUGUAACAUUGUACAUUUUAAAUCUACAAGUGUGAUAAAUGUCCCAAAGGUUUCGGAAAUAUCGAUAAACUGAAACGUCACAAGAAAAACCAUGAGAAAACUGAUCCUUGCCAAAUUUCUGGAUGUUCAGAUGUAUUUUGUAAAUUGUAUCUUUUGCACGUCAUCAAAGAUGAAACAGAACAUAAGAAUUCGAUUUCAGGAAGCAAAUGUGACAAAUGUAACAAGGUUCUCCGUUCGAAAACACAAUUAAGAAUACAUUCUAAAAUUCACGCUGAAGACCGAAGGGUUAUACCAUGCCCAUACAAAAAAUGUCGUAGAGUUUAUUACUACAAAUCUAACCUGGACUCGCAUAUAAAAAUUAAGCAUCUUGGGAAGAAAUUUUUCUGCGAUGUAUGUUCCGCAGGACUUGCAUCUAAACAGAAGUUAAUAAACCAUAUUAAAAAACAAACAUUAUGUAAUAAAAACAUAAUGACCCUAGAAUUAAACCUAGAAUUAAAAAAAAUAAGAGAAAAAUACCAGAGAAAAAAAUAGACAGUGGCAUACCAAAAAAAAGUGUGAUAGGUAAAUUGAUUGGGAUUAAUUUUAAUAAACCAUCAAAUAAUAUAUAAGUUGUCUAGGUAUAGCUUCCGGAAUGGAGCCGUGUGAUAUAUAAGUUGAAUCUGUAAAAUAUACAUCAUAAAUUAACAAUAUGACAUUUUAUAUAAUUAUAUAAUAUGUGUAUUAUAUAAUAUGUGUAUUAGUUACAAAAUAGUUUUAUUAAAAACUAUUACAAUAAAACAACAUUUAUGUAAGUAUAUGUAA